rnacentral:rRNA from 1 species
GUCUUUUUGAAUUCUAUAUAAAGUCUGACCUGCCCACUGAAAUUUGAAUGGCCGCAGUACACUAACUGUGCAAAGGUAGCAUAAUAAUUAGUCUUUUAAUUGAAGGCUUGUAUGAACGGUUGGACGAGGUAUUAACUGUUUCAUUUAAAUUUAAACUAGAAUUUUAUUUUUUAGUCAAAAAGCUAAAAUUUUUUUAAAAGACGAGAAGACCCUAUAAAGCUUUAUAUUUAUUUAAUUUUGUUUUAUUAGAUAAGUUUUUAUAAAAUUAAUUUAAAUAUUUUAUUGGGGUGAUAUUAAAAUUUUUUAAACUUUUAAUUUAUUAAAUCAUUAAUUUAUGAUUAAAUGAUCCGAUAUUUUCGAUUAAAAAUUUAAGUUACUUUAGGGAUAACAGCGUAAUUUUUUUGGAGAGUUCAUAUCGAUAAAAAAGAUUGCGACCUCGAUGUUGGAUUAAGGAAUAAGUUUAGGCGCAGCAGUUUAAAUAAUAAGUCUGUUCGACUUUUAAACCCUU